rnacentral:rRNA from 1 species
GUCUGGGAAACUGCCUGAGGGAGGGGGAUAACUACUGGGAACGGUAGCUAAUACCGCAUAAUGUCGCAAGACCAAAGAGGGGGACCUUCGGGCCUCUUGCCAUCAGAUGUGCCCAGAUGGGAUUAGCUAGUAGGUGGGGUAAUGGCUCACCUAGGCGACAAUCCCUAGCUGGUCUGAGAGGAUGACCACCCACACUGGAACUGAGACACGGUCCACACUCCUACGGGAGGCAGCAGUGGGGAAUAUUGCACAAUGGGCGCAAGCCUGAUGCACCCAUGCCGCGUGUAUGAAGAAAGCCUUCUGGUUGUAAAGUACUUUCAGCGAGGAGGAAGGCAUUGUGGUUAAUAACCCCAGUGAUUGACGUUACUCGCAGAAAAAGCACCGGCUAACUCCGUGCCACCAGCCGCGGUAAU